AAUAUUGCGCAAUGGGCGAAAGCCUGACGCAGCGACGCCGCGUGUGGGAUGACGGCCUUCGGGUUGUAAACCACUGUCGGGAGGGACGAAUGCGCCGCAAGGCGAGUGACGGUACCUCUCAAGGAAGCACCGGCUAACUCCGUGCCAGCAGCCGCGGUAAUACGGAGGGUGCGAGCGUUGUCCGGAAUCACUGGGCGUAAAGGGCGCGUAGGUGGCCGAGCAAGGUCGCGGUGAAAGCCCGGGGCUCAACCCCGGGUCGGCCGUGGUAACUACUCGGCUUGAGCACUGUAGGGGCGGGUGGAAUUCCGGGUGUAGCGGUGGAAUGCGUAGAGAUCCGGAAGAACACCGGUGGCGAAGGCGGCCUGCUGGGCAGUUUAGCUGACACUGAGGCGCGACAGCGUGGGGAGCAAAC
rnacentral:rRNA from 1 species